rnacentral:rRNA from 1 species
GUUGUAGGGCCGGCAUACGCGAUUCUGGAGUAGGCAGAGGAAGUGAGCUGGAAAGCUCCGCCACAGCGGGUGAUAGCCCCGUACUCGAAACCGAAAAGGACGCAGCCGGUACCUGAGUACUGCGAGGCACGUGGAACCUCGUGGGAAUCUAGGGGGACCAUCCUCUAAGGCUAAGUACUCCUCAGCGACCGAUAGUGAACUAGUACCGUGAGGGAAAGGUGAAAAGAACCCCUGUUAGGGGAGUGAAAUAGAAUCUGAAACCUGUUGCCUACAAGCUGCGAGAGCUACUUCGGUAGUGAUCGCGUGCCUUUUGUAUAAUGAGUCAGCGAGUUACUCUACCGUGCGAGGUUAAGCGAAAGCGUAGCCGUAGUGAAAGCGAGGCUUAAUAGGCCGACUAGUACGUUGGAGUAGACACGAAACCGGGUGAUCUAGCCAUUAGCAGGUUGACGGAAGCCUCAUUCCUUGUGGAGGACCGAACCGUCAACGGCUGAAAACGUUCCGGAUGACUUGUGGAUAGGGGUGAAAGGUCAAUCAAACCCGGUGAUAGCUGGUUCUCCCCGAAAUAUAUUGAGGUAUAGCCUCGGGAAUUGAUUAGCGGAGGUAAAGCACUGACAGAGCUAGGGGUCCUACCAGAUUACCAAACUCUAUCAAACUCAGAAUGCCGCUUAAUUGUAUCCCGGGAGUCAGACGGCGGGUGCGAAGGUUCGUCGUCAAAAGGGAAACAGCCCAGACCAACAGCUAAGGUCUCCAAAUCCAUGCUCAGUGGUGAAGGUAGUGGAACCGUUUAGACAGCCAGGACGUUGGCUUAGAAGCAGCCAUCGUUUAAAGAAAGCGUAAUAGCUCACUGGUCUAAUGGCUCUGCGCCGAAAAUGUAACGGGGCUAAGCAUGGUACCGAAGCUUUGGCAAUCUCCUUUGGAGAUUGGGUAGGGGAGCGUUCGCUGCGGGCUGAAGGUGUAUCGGAAGGUAUGCUGGACUGCAGUGAAGUGAUUAUGCUGACAUGAGUAACGAUAAAAUAUGUGAAAAACAUAUUCGCCGAAAACCCGAGGUUUCCUGGGUAAAGGUAAUCUUCCCAGGGUUAGUCGGAUCCUAAGGUGAGGGUGAAAGCCGUAACCGAUGGAAAACAGGUUAAUAUUCCUGUACUUGUUGUGUAGCGCGAUGGAGGGACGCAGGAAGAUAGGCGGGCCGGGUGUUGGAUAUCCCGGUGCAAGCGUGUAGGAAUAUCCGGUAGGCAAAUCCGCCGGACGAAUCUGAGACGCGAGUCCGUGGGCGCAAGCCCUGAAGCCGUUGAGUCUAUGCUGCCUAGAAAAGCUCCUAAGUUUAUCCACAGCAAUCCGUACCGCAAACCAACUCAGGUGGGUGGGAUGAACAAUCCAAGGCGCUCGAGAGAACUCUGGCCAAGGAACUCGGCAAAAUGACCCCGUAACUUCGGAAGAAGGGGUGCUCUCUAGGGUGACAUGUUUAACAUAUGAAGCCCCGGGGAGCCGCAGUGAAUUGGUGGUGGCGACUGUUUACUAAAAACAUAGGUCUGUGCGAAGUCCUAAAGACGACGUAUACGGACUGACGCCUGCCCGGUGCUGGAAGGUUAAAAGGAGGGGUCAGCGCAAGCAAAGCUCCGAAUUGAAGCCCCAGUAAACGGCGGCCGUAACUAUAACGGUCCUAAGGUAGCGAAAUUCCUUGUCGGGUA